UACGGAGGGGGCUAGCGUUGUUCGGAAUUACUGGGCGUAAAGCGCACGUAGGCGGACUGGAAAGUCAGGGGUGAAAUCCCGGGGCUCAACCCCGGAACUGCCUUUGAAACUCCCAGUCUUGAGGUCGAGAGAGGUGAGUGGAAUUCCGAGUGUAGAGGUGAAAUUCGUAGAUAUUCGGAGGAACACCAGUGGCGAAGGCGGCUCACUGGCUCGAUACUGACGCUGAGGUGCGAAAGCGUGGGGAGCAAACAGG
rnacentral:rRNA from 1 species